GAAAGACUGCGGCAGAUGGAGGAUCGGAUUUGUGGAUAUGAGCAGGCUGAGCAGGAGUGGGAGGCUGAGAGGCAGAGGGCGGCAGAAGAAUUGCAGAGGAUGGAGAACCGGGCUCGCCGCUCUGAAGAGGAAGCUCUUCGUCUGCGAAAGAGACUGUGGCCGGAUGAGGGGAAGAAGGAAUCUUAUUCCGAGGGUGGGUGCUUUGGAGGUGGCUCCCAGGAGCAGGACACCAGGAGCAACAGGGCAAUCUACAUAGUGAUAGCAGUGCUGGCUGUUCUAUUUUUCCUUCGGUGUGCCAUGUUUGGGUUUCCAUAUGGACAAUUGCGAGUGCUGUUUUUGCUUCUGCUUAGACGAUUCUUCACUAGAAACAGUUGACCUUUCCCAUUGUCGCCUCACGGACAGAAUUGCUUUUGUAAUUGGGAAGAAAUGGUGACUUCUGGGAGGAUCUAACUGUUGGGGAAUUGGGCAAACUUCUGAUCAUCUUCUUGGGGAAAUGCUGUCCAUCUACUUGGGGAAUCACACGCCUUGGCCUUCCUUUGCCCAGAAUGCGCACUGCUUUCAACAGUGGCUUUUAAGAGAGUGAACUUCAUGUUUCUGUACUCUUGAUGUUUCUGUAGAGUCAUGCUUUGCUUCUGAAAAUGCUCAGCUAAGCUUAAUAUAAGGAUAAAAAAUAAUGAAAAAAGCACAUAAGAGCACUCACACUUUCUCCUGAGCAGUGAGCAUUUCAGCCUGGAGUGAAGGAGCAGCACUCAGCCUGGGCCGCCUCUGCUGUUCUGGGGGGAAGUCAGACACAGAAAGCAGGAUUGGAGAGAGUUGGGGAGGGUGUGAAAAGAUCAGGCCCCAUCUGCAGCACUGCGUCCAGGGCUGGAGCCCCCCUU